rnacentral:rRNA from 1 species
GGUUCGAUUAUGGCUCAGAUUGAACGCUGGCGGGAUGCUUUACACAUGCAAGUCGAACGGCGGCACGGACUUCGGUCUGGUGGCGAGUGGCGAACGGGUGAGUAAUGUAUCGGAACGUGCCUGACAGGGGAUAACUACGCGAAGCGUAGCUAACCGCAUACGCCCUUCGGGGAAAGCGGGGGACCUUCGGGCCUCGCACUAUUAGAGCAGCCGAUAUCGGAUUAGCUAGUUGGUGGGGUAACGGCUCACAAGGCGACGAUCCGUAGCUGGUUUGAGACGACCAGCCACACUGGGACUGAGACGGCCCAGACUCCUACGGGAGGCAGCAGUGGGAAUUUUGGACAAUGGGGAAACCCUGAUCCAGCCAUCCCGCGUGUGCGAUGAAGGCCUUCGGGUUGUAAAGCACUUUUGGCAGGAAAACGGCACGGGAUAAUACCCCGUGCAACGCUGACGAAGCACCUGCAGAAUAAGCACCGGCUUCUUCCAUUGCCAGCAGCCGCGUGUACGUAGGGUGCAAGCGUUAAUCGGAAUUACUGGGCGUAAAGCGUGCGCGAGCGGUUCGGAAAGAAGAUGUGAAAUCCCAGAGCUUAACUUUUGGAACUGCAUUUUUAACUACCGAGCUAGGUGUGUCAGAGGAGAUUAGAUUCCGCGUGUAGCAAUUGAAAUGCGUAGAUAUGCGGAGGAACACCGAUGGCGAAGGCAACCUCGCAGGAUAACACUGACGCUCAUGCACGAAAGCGUGGGGAGCAAACAGGAUUAGAUACCCUGGUAGUCCACGCCCUAAACGAUGUCCAGCAAGCUGUUGGGGCCUUCUGAGCUGGUAGCGCAAUAACGCGUAGAAGUUGACCGCCUGGGAAGGCUACAGUCGCAAGAUUAAAAACUCAAAAGGAAUUGACGGGGACCCGCUGAAAGCGGUGGAUGAUGUGGAUUAAUUCGAUUAAACGCGAAAAACCUUACCUACCCUUAUUGUCUGGAAUCCCGAAGAUUUGGGAGUGCUCGCAAAGAGAACCGGAACACGGGUGCUGCAUGGCUGUCGUCAGCUCGUGUCGUGAGAUGUUGGGUUAAGUCCGCAACGAAGCGCAACCCUUGUCGUUAGUUGCUACGAAGGGCACUCUAAUGAGACUGCCGGUGACAAACCGGAGGAAGGUGGGGAUGACGUCAAGUCCUCAUGGCCCUUGGGUAGGGCUUCACACGUCAUACAAUGGUCGGGACAGAGGGUCGCCAACCCGCGAGGGGAGCCAAUCCCAGAAACCCGAUCGUAGUCCGGAUCGCAGUCUGCAGCUCGACUGCGUGAAGUCGGAAUCGCUAGUAAUCGCGGAUCGGCAUGUCGCGGUGAAUACGUUCCCGGGUCUUGUACACACCACCCGUCACACCAUGGGAGUGGGUUUGCAAGAAGUAGUUAGCCUAACCGUAAGGAGGGCGAUUACCACGUGGGAUUCAUGACUGAUUGAAGUCGUAACAAGGUAG